rnacentral:tRNA from 1 species
GCCCCUGUGGCGGAACUGGUAGACGCGCGUGACUCAAAAUCACGUUCCCUUUGGGAGUGGGAGUUCGAGUCUCCCCGGGGGCACCA